CUCUGAGAGGAAUGGAGUUCAAGGAACUGCUGAAACUGGGGUGCUGGGCUGAUCUGGGACUCAGUUGCAUCCAGCCCAGGCAAAUCUUGGAUUGAAGAAGUGGCGGUUGUGACUACUCCACGUGUUACGUAUAUGACACUUCUGGUGUCUGACAGGCUAAUGCAAAAUUGGAUUCAUCAUCUGUGAACCACUGUUUGCCUACUUCAGUAGUACUUCCAGCAAGAGAUAAGAGUAAUGGGAACACAGAAAGACAGCUGUUGCAAUCAAGACAAGAUACAAAAAGAUGCUGCAGAUUUCUCCAUUUAUUUACAUCUGAAGACAUGACCCACUGCCCAAGCAUGGCAGCUGCAAACGGGUAUAAUCAUUCCUUUGGCUCUAAAUUCAAAUAAUCAUGAUGGGCUUAUGGCAGUCCUGCUGUAUUCACAUGUUGAAGUAGGCAUACAGCUAGGAAAUGCAUUUUAGAAGAAUAGCUCUCUUCUGGGUGUUCUACAGAUCCAAAGAAGACUAAGGAGUAGACAUUGUUGCAGAGUAAAAAUGUGGCAGAGCUGCAAGGUGCACUGCUCCUUCAGGAGCGCAUCCAUGAAGUCAUGUUCACUCUCCAUAGCUUUCUUCAAUGGAGGUUUAAGCCUUCAGUAAUUACUGGAUCCUACAGGAGUAGUUUUAUCUCACUCAUGCCAGAAGGUGCAAUUUUAACUAGCAUGAUUAUAGCUCAGAAAGAAAAGGCCAGGCUCAGUCCAAAAUAAGUCAGAGGAGUUAUGUCUACUGUCAUCUAAAUGGAUUUGGCCUCAGAUAUUCAAAGAAAGUAUUACGUGAAAAGCCAGAGAAGAUCAUAUGUUCAUUAUGUAUGGCUUCCAUUAUAUACGUAGUAUGCGUAUUUUCUUUAGGUACUCUUAUACACAGGCUGUGGAUGCUCAAUUUUUGGCUGUAUAUCUACUUGGAAAUGUCCCAUACUGUGUGAUAAGACCCAGAUGGCAACCAGAUGGCUCCAUGUAACUCUUUGGAAGUGCUGCUGCAGACUGGGAGUAAGAAACUGAAGUCUACAAACAACUCCCUCUCUUUCUCAUGACUUCUACUAAUAAAGAGCAAAGAUU
rnacentral:lncRNA from 7 species